CGUUAUCAUUAUUAGUAGGAAUGUAGCUCGCAUCGAGUACUUUUCCAAGCUUUUACGAAAUUGCUGUAUUUAAUAUUUAUAGAUUGACCAUCAGUUUGACGCCUUUCCGAAAUCCUCUAAAUUAACAGCUUAGAUUUCAACUAUUGAUUUACGUAUUGAUGAAUCUCGUUCUUUGAUAAACAAAGCAACAAAAAUCAAAAAAAUCAAGACAAUGGCAGAGAACGAAACGAGUUCAUUGCUCGGAACGGAACUGAAGCAACUUACGUUUGGAUGGACCGAUUACACAUUGUUCAGCAGUCUCUUAGGGAUCAGUGUCCUCAUAGGGAUUUAUUUUGGUUUUUUCGACAAAAAGCAGGACAACACUACUGAGUAUUUGCUCGGAGGAAAGACGAUGUCCUGUUUCCCAGUUAGCAUGAGCUUGGUCGCCAGUCACAUAUCGGCAGUCUCUUUGCUCGCUAUACCCGUCGAAGUAUAUCAAUAUGGCACACAGUACGCUGUCUGUAUUUUUACAUCGCUUAUAACGUGUACUCUCGUUUCGCUCAUCUACAUACCGGUAUUUUAUAAAUUACAAACGACCAGCUCGUUUGAAUACCUGGAACUGAGGUUUACGAGGUCCGUCCGGCUAUUCGCCUCGUUUCUUUAUACAUUUUCUUUGAUCAUUUAUGUCCCUUUGAUCAUAUACGUACCAGCGCUAGCAUUUUCGCAGGCAACAUCGAUCAAUCUCUACCUGCUUACUCCGAUAAUCUGCACUGUAUGCACAUUCUACACGACCAUCGGAGGAUUGAAAGCUGUAGUUUGGGCGGACACCAUUCAAAUGAUUGUAACCUUGGGAAGUUUGUUUGCCGUGUUUGUUUUGGGCACCAUGGCCGUGGGCGGUGUAUCCGAGGUUUGGAGACUAUCGGAAGAGGGUAGAAGAAUAGUUUUCUGGAAUAUGGACCCUAGCCCAUUUGUUAGAAAUUCAUUUUGGGGAAUGUCAGUUGGAAUGACGAUAACGUGGUUAACAGGAUUGGGCAUUAAUCAAUCGUCCGUGCAAAGAUUUUUAUCUGUGCCGAACGUCAAGGAAGCGCAUAAGGCAAUGGCGUCCAUGGGGAUAUCCAUUGUGAUAGUAAAAUGGGUGUCGGUAUUUACGGGACUUAUAAUGUACGCCAGGUAUCACAAGUGCGAUCCUAUAAGUACACACGUAAUUUCCAGGAGCGACCAAUUACUUCCGUAUUACGUAUUGGACGUCGCCGCGAAUAUUCCAGGACUUCCGGGCCUUUUUCUUGCCGGUCUCGUCAGCGCUGGCCUCUCCACGAUGAGCGCCGCUUUGAACACAGUGGCUGGCACAAUUUACGAGGACUUUAUCGAUUCCUGGUUACCAGAUAGCAGCGAUAAAGAGAAUCGGGCGGCGAGAAUUAUGAAGAUUAUCGUGGUGGUCAUUGGAGUAAUCUGCAUGGUGAUGGUUUUCGUCGUGGAUCGUUUAGGCGAUAUUUUCCGUGCUUCUCUGGUUCUUCACGGCAUCACGGCUGGCGCGAUGCUGGGUAUUUUCACUCUGGGAAUGUUGGUACCAUGGGCGACGUCGAAAGGUGUCAUCGUGGGUGGCAUAACUUCCAUGUUAUUCAUGAUUUGGCUUAUAGUCGGUGCUCAAGUGAACAUGGUUCAGAAACGAUUAGUUUAUCCACCGCUUCCUAUGUCGACGGAGAACUGUUUGAAUCACACGGUAUUUAAUCAAACGACAACGCACACGGAUGAUAUCCCAGCAGACGGAGAGGAGAAACCGUUUGUACUGUUCACGAUAUCGUUCAUGUAUUACUCUCUGUGCGGUUUCUUGAUAUCGAUGGUGAUUGGGACGGCAGUCAGUUUUAUGACUGGCGCUAACGAUCUAAGAGAGGUGGAGAGGAAUCAUUUUCCACCGUUCGUUCAGAGAUUUUUGCCACCAAAGAAAUACACCGAGGUUCCAAUGCACGCGAUCCCCACCGCGCUGGUGGUGAACCCGGAGAAAGAGAAGCUCAAUUUAUAAAAACGGACAUCACAGGCAUACGUGAAGUCCAACUAUUUCGCUAGUGCGAUAAUGUAUCGAUUCAAUUCUUCCGUGCAACUGCGUGCACGAGGCGUGGAGGAAUAAAAAUCGUGCGGUAAAGAUUCCCGAGGUGAAAGUCGACCGAGGUGAAGGAAGUAACCCUUAUCAAAGAUUCGAGAUAUUAUCCUCGAGGCUUUCAGGAGAGAACUCACGGUCGGCGACAGAGAGGAGAUUCCUGGAGAAGAAGGCUCGCAAGGGACGUUACACGGCUGACGUAGAAACGGCACUUCUCUGUCUCGAACCGGAGACCACAUUCCACCGAACCAUUUUAUUUUAUUGGACUGAAAGGUGUCAAAUAUAGGUGGCAAAGGCCCUCCUACUUACAUUCCUGCCGCUACCUUCCUACCGUCCCUCUUCACCGCCGGUCUGAUUUCAUCGUGUAGGUAAAACCUUGGAAGGGAGAGCCCAUUGUGGCCGGGUGACAGUUUUCUGACAGAUUCCGUCUGAUUUGGUGUCGAGUGACAGAGGCACGAUCUCGCUGCAUUCACACGAUUAACUAGCCUCCCUACCAUCGCCGACUCUUAACCACUAGAAGUUAUUAUUCAAUCACUCUGAUUGUCAUUUCGUAGAGAAAAUGUGAUGCAUCGGGAAAAUUGUAACGUUCCGAUAAGAAGAAGUAGAAUCUCGUUGGUGCUCUGCGCGAAGGUUAGAAUAGUUCCACGGAAAGAUCAGUGAAAAAAAAAGGAGAAAAAAAUUGAAAAGGCAGAAGUCGACGAGAGAAGAGAGAGAGAGAGAGAAAGGGGGAAAAGGCUAUCAAAGAAGAAGCAUGUGUACGAAGGCUAUACAUAUAGGAGGCCAAGGUUUGGCUUAGAUCCUCUAAUCUCUCCUUCUUCCUCGCUCUUUCACCGUGUCUCGUCGAGUGUAACUGUAUAACGGGGUUCCCCGGUUUUUGUGAGGUCAUGGGUAUACGUGCAAAAGCGCAUAAAAGCUGAGGGGGCGCGCACGGUGUGGGAUACGGCUUAUUUCGGCGACAAUGCGUAGGGCCAGGCGCGAGCAUAAAGGAGCAUAAUGCACCCUGCUAACGUGAAAAUUAUUCUGUCAAACAUUCGGACGUCGGAUUACGGGCGGCAUAACCUCGUGGUGUCCUGGCCAGGACACGCUUUUUUUUUUUCAGAAAAGACACGGCCAAUAGGCUGGCCGUGCAGAUGCCGAAAGGAUUUCUCGGUCAACGAGACGACGAUCGUUGAUUUACGCGUCAACUCUCUCUCGCCGUAUAGCAAAUGGGAGGUCGCCGAGAGGGGAAAACGACGAAAUUUAUAGAUCCAUAAAAUCCUAAUAUUACGCGCUAUUUAGGAGAGAGGGUUAUGUUAACUCGAUGAUAUAAUUCCCAAUCGCGUGCAACGGUAUCUCCCCGAGGCAUUAUUGUUUCUUCCAACGAUUCCGCUACCGAACCGCUGGCGUCGUCUCGCGUAUUUUAUAUCGCAGAGAUCCUGAACGCGUACACGUGGUACGAGGAAUUAAGGAUCCUCCGUUCAAGGAUCAACGAUCUUAUAUAUUCGAGACAUUUGCUAUUUUUAUAUCGCAUCGUCCCGGCUCUGAAGGCGAGAUUCUUGCAACACGAUUCCACUCGUGUGCAUCAGAGAUUUUGUCGAUUGGACCACCUCCCUGUUUUUCCUACACGCAAUUUUCAAACGUUGCGCACGCGUCUGCACGCGCAUGUGUCUAACGCAAGCGAUGCGGUUUUCAAACGUCUCUUUUGCAUUAAAAUUGUUUCAAAUAUAUACCGCAAUAUGUAUAUAUAUAUAAUAUAAAUAAUCAAAUCAAAUGUAUAACAUAUAAAUCAAAUAUAUAAUACAAGUUUAACCUGACAAUUCGUAAAGCAGUGAAAAACAAUGGAUACAAUCUACAUUUUUUAGUGGAGGCAAUGCCCGAAAAUCACAGGUGAACAAAUAGCUACAAUUAAUAACCUUCUUCUCUCGUAAGUAAACGAAAUUUUGGCUAUGGAAGGAUUAAUUGUAGUCGUAACUCCAAAUAAAAAUCAAAUAAUAAUA